rnacentral:piRNA from 1 species
CACCUGUACAGAGUGACAGAUUUGGGAUGCA